UACGGGGGGGGCAAGCGUUGUUCGGAAUUACUGGGCGUAAAGGGCGCGUAGGCGGCCUUGUAAGUCAGACGUGAAAUCCCUCGGCUCAACCGAGGAACUGCGUCUGAUACUGGAAGGCUUGAAUCCGGGAGAGGGAUGUGGAAUUCCAGGUGUAGCGGUGAAAUGCGUAGAUAUCUGGAGGAACACCGGUGGCGAAGGCGGCAUCCUGGACCGGUAUUGACGCUGAGGCGCGAAAGCUAGGGGAGCAAACGGG
rnacentral:rRNA from 1 species